rnacentral:rRNA from 1 species
CGGUUAAGCUAAUAAGAGCACACGGAGGAUGCCUAGGCGCCAGGAGCCGACGAAGGACGUGGCGAACAACGAAACUGCCUCGGGGAGCUGUAAGCAAGCUUUGAUCCGGGGGUGUCCGAAUGGGGAAACCCAGCUGUGGUAAUUCGCAGUUACUCGUAUCUGAAUACAUAGGAUACGCAGAGGCAGACCAGGGGAACUGAAACAUCUAAGUACCCUGAGGAAGAGAAAACAAUAGUGAUUCCGUCAGUAGCGGCGAGCGAACGCGGAACAGCCUAAACCAAGGGGCUUGCCUCUUGGGGUUGUGGGACGUCUCACAUGGAGUUACAAAGGAAUAUGGUAGGCGAAGAGGUCUGGAAAGGCCCGCGAUAGAGGUAAAAGCCCUGUAGCCUAAACUGUGUUCUCUCCGAGACGGAUCCCGAGUAGUGCGGGGCACGUGAAACCCCGUAUGAAUCCAGCAGGACCAUCUGCUAAGGCUAAAUACUACCUGGCGACCGAUAGUGAAACAGUACCGUGAGGGAAAGGUGAAAAGCACCCCGGAAGGGGAGUGAAAUAGAACCUGAAACCGUGUGCUUACAAAAAGUCAGAGCCCGAUCUAUGGGUGAUGGCGUGCCUUUUGUAGAAUGAACCGGCGAGUUACGUUUAACAUGCAAGGUUAAGGUGAGAAGCCGGAGCCGCAGCGAAAGCGAGUCUGAAUAGGGCGACUGAGUAUGUGGACGUAGACCCGAAACCGUGUGAUCUACCCCUGUCCAGGGUGAAGGUGCGGUAACACGCACUGGAGGCCCGAACCCACGCAUGUUGAAAAAUGCGGGGAUGAGGUGGGGGUAGCGGAGAAAUUCCAAUCGAACUCGGAGAUAGCUGGUUCUCCCCGAAAUAGCUUUAGGGCUAGCCUCGGUGAAUGGAGUGGUGGAGGUAGAGCACUGAUUGGGUGCGGGGCCCGCAAGGGUUACCAAGCUCAGUCAAACUCCGAAUGCCAUUAACUUCUUGCCGGGAGUCAGACAGUGAGUGCUAAGAUCCAUUGUCAAAAGGGAAACAGCCCAGACCAUCAGCUAAGGUCCCCAAGUGUGUGUUAAGUGGGAAAGGAUGUGGAGUUGCACAGACAACCAGGAUGUUGGCUUAGAAGCAGCCACCAUUGAAAGAGUGCGUAAUAGCUCACUGGUCGAGUGACUCUGCGCCGAAAAUGUAACGGGGCUAAACACACCACCGAAGCUAUGGCUAGAUGCUUUGCAUCUGGGGUAGGGGAGCGUUGUAUGUAGGUUGAAGGUGUACCGUAAGGAGCGCUGGACAGCAUACAAGUGAGAAUGCCGGUAUGAGUAACGAAAAGAUCAGUGAGAAUCUGAUCCGCCGAAAGCCCAAGGUUUCCUGAGGAAGGCUCGUCCGCUCAGGGUAAGUCGGGACCUAAGGCGAGGCCGAAAGGCGUAGUCGAAGGACAACAGUUUGAAAUUACUGUACCACCGUAAUCCGCUAUGAGCGAUGGGGUGACGCAGGAGGGUAGUGACGCGGACUGAUGGAUGUCCGUCUAAGCAGUGAGGCUGGUGUGUAGGCAAAUCCGCACACCAUUAAGGCUGGGCUGUGAUGGGGAGCGAAAAUUGUAGUAGCGAAGGUCAUGAUCUCACACUGCCAAGAAAAGCCUCUAGCCAGGAGAAGGUGCCCGUACCGCAAACCGACACAGGUAGGCGAGAAGAGAAUUCUAAGGCGCGCGGAAGAACUCUCGUUAAGGAACUCGGCAAAAUGACCUCGUAACUUCGGGAGAAGAGGUGCCUCGGUAGGGUGAAUAGCCCGAGGGGGCCGCAGUGAAAAGGCCCAAGCGACUGUUUAGCAAAAACACAGGUCUGUGCGAAGCCGCAAGGCGAAGUAUACGGGCUGACGCCUGCCCGGUGCUGGAAGGUUAAGGGGAGUGGUUAGGGGUUAAACCCGAAGCUGUGAACCGAAGCCCCAGUAAACGGCGGCCGUAACUAUAACGGUCCUAAGGUAGCGAAAUUCCUUGUCAGGUAAAUUCUGACCCGCACGAAUGGCGUAACGACUUGGGCGCUGUCUCAACGAGAGAUCCGGUGAAAUUUUAAUACCUGUGAAGAUGCAGGUUACCCGCGACAAGACGGAAAGACCCCAUGGAGCUUUACUGCAGCUUGAUAUUGAAUUUGGGUACGAUCUGUACAGGAUAGGUGGGAGCCGUUGAGGCAGGAGCGCAAGCUUCUGCGGAGGCGCCGUUGGGAUACCACCCUGAUCGUAUCUAGGUUCUAACCUGGUACCCUAAGCGGGUACGGGGACCGUGUCAGGCGGGCAGUUUGACUGGGGCGGUCGCCUCCUAAAGAGUAACGGAGGCGUUCAAAGGUUCCCUCAGAAUGGUUGGAAAUCAUUCGCAGAGUGCAAAGGCAUAAGGGAGCUUGACUGCGAGACCUACAAGUCGAGCAGGGACGAAAGUCGGACUUAGUGAUCCGGUGGUACCGCAUGGAAGGGCCAUCGCUCAACGGAUAAAAGCUACCCUGGGGAUAACAGGCUUAUCUCCCCCAAGAGUCCACAUCGACGGGGAGGUUUGGCACCUCGAUGUCGGCUCAUCGCAUCCUGGGGCUGAAGUAGGUCCCAAGGGUUGGGCUGUUCGCCCAUUAAAGCGGUACGCGAGCUGGGUUCAGAACGUCGUGAGACAGUUCGGUCCCUAUCUGUCGUGGGCGCAGGAAAUUUGAGAGGAGCUGUCCUUAGUACGAGAGGACCGGGAUGGACGUACCGCUGGUGCAUCAGUUGUUCCGCCAGGAGCAUGGCUGAGUAGCUACGUACGGACGGGAUAAGCGCUGAAAGCAUCUAAGCGUGAAGCCCCCCUCAAGAUGAGAUUUCCCAAUUAGUAAGACCCCUUGAAGACGACGAGGUAGAUAGGUUGGAGGUGGAAGUGCAGCAAUGCAUGGAGCUGACCAAUACUAAUCGGUCGAGGGCUUAUCCAA